UGGGCCUAUAGCUCAGCUGGUUAGAGCGCACGCCUGAUAAGCGUGAGGUCGAUGGUUCGAGUCCAUUUAGGCCCA
rnacentral:tRNA from 4 species